GGGUUGUGAGGUUAAGCGACUAAGCGUACACGGUGGAUGCCCUGGCAGUCAGAGGCGAUGAAGGACGUGCUAAUCUGCGAUAAGCGUCGGUAAGGUGAUAUGAACCGUUAUAACCGGCGAUUUCCGAAUGGGGAAACCCAGUGUGUUUCGACACACUAUCAUUAACUGAAUCCAUAGGUUAAUGAGGCGAACCGGGGGAACUGAAACAUCUAAGUACCCCGAGGAAAAGAAAUCAACCGAGAUUCCCCCAGUAGCGGCGAGCGAACGGGGAGGAGCCCAGAGCCUGAAUCAGUGUGUGUGUUAGUGGAAGCGUCUGGAAAGGCGCGCGAUACAGGGUGACAGCCCCGUACACAAAAAUGCACAUGCUGUGAGCUCGAUGAGUAGGGCGGGACACGUGGUAUCCUGUCUGAAUAUGGGGGGACCAUCCUCCAAGGCUAAAUACUCCUGACUGACCGAUAGUGAACCAGUACCGUGAGGGAAAGGCGAAAAGAACCCCGGCGAGGGGAGUGAAAAAGAACCUGAAACCGUGUACGUACAAGCAGUGGGAGCAUGCUUAGGCGUGUGACUGCGUACCUUUUGUAUAAUGGGUCAGCGACUUAUAUUCUGUAGCAAGGUUAACCGAAUAGGGGAGCCGAAGGGAAACCGAGUCUUAACUGGGCGUUAAGUUGCAGGGUAUAGACCCGAAACCCGGUGAUCUAGCCAUGGGCAGGUUGAAGGUUGGGUAACACUAACUGGAGGACCGAACCGACUAAUGUUGAAAAAUUAGCGGAUGACUUGUGGCUGGGGGUGAAAGGCCAAUCAAACCGGGAGAUAGCUGGUUCUCCCCGAAAGCUAUUUAGGUAGCGCCUCGUGAAUUCAUCUCCGGGGGUAGAGCACUGUUUCGGCAAGGGGGUCAUCCCGACUUACCAACCCGAUGCAAACUGCGAAUACCGGAGAAUGUUAUCACGGGAGACACACGGCGGGUGCUAACGUCCGUCGUGAAGAGGGAAACAACCCAGACCGCCAGCUAAGGUCCCAAAGUCAUGGUUAAGUGGGAAACGAUGUGGGAAGGCCCAGACAGCCAGGAUGUUGGCUUAGAAGCAGCCAUCAUUUAAAGAAAGCGUAAUAGCUCACUGGUCGAGUCGGCCUGCGCGGAAGAUGUAACGGGGCUAAACCAUGCACCGAAGCUGCGGCAGCGACGCUGAUGCGUUGUUGGGUAGGGGAGCGUUCUGUAAGCCUGCGAAGGUGUGCUGUGAGGCAUGCUGGAGGUAUCAGAAGUGCGAAUGCUGACAUAAGUAACGAUAAAGCGGGUGAAAAGCCCGCUCGCCGGAAGACCAAGGGUUCCUGUCCAACGUUAAUCGGGGCAGGGUGAGUCGACCCCUAAGGCGAGGCCGAAAGGCGUAGUCGAUGGGAAACAGGUUAAUAUUCCUGUACUUGGUGUUACUGCGAAGGGGGGACGGAGAAGGCUAUGUUGGCCGGGCGACGGUUGUCCCGGUUUAAGCGUGUAGGCUGGUUUUCCAGGCAAAUCCGGAAAAUCAAGGCUGAGGCGUGAUGACGAGGCACUACGGUGCUGAAGCAACAAAUGCCCUGCUUCCAGGAAAAGCCUCUAAGCAUCAGGUAACAUCAAAUCGUACCCCAAACCGACACAGGUGGUCAGGUAGAGAAUACCAAGGCGCUUGAGAGAACUCGGGUGAAGGAACUAGGCAAAAUGGUGCCGUAACUUCGGGAGAAGGCACGCUGAUAUGUAGGUGAAGCGACUUGCUCGUGGAGCUGAAAUCAGUCGAAGAUACCAGCUGGCUGCAACUGUUUAUUAAAAACACAGCACUGUGCAAACACGAAAGUGGACGUAUACGGUGUGACGCCUGCCCGGUGCCGGAAGGUUAAUUGAUGGGGUUAGCGCAAGCGAAGCUCUUGAUCGAAGCCCCGGUAAACGGCGGCCGUAACUAUAACGGUCCUAAGGUAGCGAAAUUCCUUGUCGGGUAAGUUCCGACCUGCACGAAUGGCGUAAUGAUGGCCAGGCUGUCUCCACCCGAGACUCAGUGAAAUUGAACUCGCUGUGAAGAUGCAGUGUACCCGCGGCAAGACGGAAAGACCCCGUGAACCUUUACUAUAGCUUGACACUGAACAUUGAGCCUUGAUG
rnacentral:rRNA from 1 species